GAUGAACGCUGGCGGCGUGCCUAAUACAUGCAAGUCGAACGAAAGGACCAGAAGCGUGCUUCGCUUAUGUUAGCGGCGGACGGGAGAGUAACACGUGGACAACCUACCUAUAAGACUGGGGUAACUUCGGGAAACCGGAGCUAAUACCGGAUAAUAUUUUGAACCGCAUGGUUCAAAAGUAAAAGGCGGUCUUUCGGUCACUUAUAGAUGGAUCCGUGCUGAGUGGGCUGGUUGGGCAGGUAACGGCGUACCAAGGCAACGAUGCGUAGGCGACCUGAGAGGGUGGUCGCCGGCCCUGGAGCGGGGCCACGGUCCAGGCUCCUGCGGGAGGGCCCAGUCGCCUACCGUCCGCAACGGGCGGAAGUCUGGCGCAGCGGCGCCGCGUGAGUGGUGACGGUCCCCGGAUCGUGAAGACGUGUUAUUAGGGGAGAACAUAUUUGUGAGUAGCUGAGCCCAUAUUGACGGUACCUGAAGAAAAAGCCCCGGCUAACUACGUG
rnacentral:rRNA from 1 species